UGUGACUCUCUAGAACAUGGCAACCAUGUAAUCUUCCUAUCUGGAGCAGCACCGACCCAUUUUCCUGAUGAGAAACUGUGUUUAGCAUGUGGCUCUCUAGAACUUGGCAACCAUGUAAUCUUCCUAUCUGGAGCAGCACCGACCCGUUUUCCUGAUGAGAAACUGUGUUUAGGAUGUGACUCUCUAGAACAUGGCAACCAUGUAAUCUUCCUAACUGGAGCAGCACCGACCCGUUUUCCUGAUGAGAAACUGUGUUUAGCAUGUGGCUCUCUAGAACUUGGCAACCAUGUAAUCUUCCUAUCUGGAGCAGCACCGAACAAUUUUCCUGAAGAGAAACUGUGUUUAGCAUGUGGCUCUCUAGAACUUGGCAACCAUGUAAUCUUCCUAUCUGGAGCAGCACCGAACAAUUUUCCUGAAUAGAAACUGUGUUUAGCAUGUGGCUCUCUAGAACUUGGCAACCAUGUAAUCUUCCUAUCUGGAGCAGCACAGACCCGUUUUCCUGAUGAGAAACUGUGGUGAGUAUCAUUUAUAUCGCGAACAACAG
rnacentral:lncRNA from 1 species